GAUAAACGCUGGCGGCGUGCCUAAUGCAUGCAAGUCGAACGGUCUAGCAUCUUCGGAAGCUAGGUAGUGGCAAACGGGUGAGUAACACGUGGGGAUCUGCCCAGUAGUGGGGAACAACUCCUCGAAAGAGGAGCUAAUACCGCAUACGGUCGAAGGACUAAAGCCAUCGCAAGAUGGCGCUAUUGGAGGAACCUGCGGCUGAUUAGCUAGUUGGUGGGUAAAGCCACCAAGGCGAUGAUCAGUAGCUGGUCUGAGAGGAUGGACAGCCACACUGGGACUGAGAUACGG
rnacentral:rRNA from 1 species